GAUCUGGAAACAACUGGGUCACCUAAUGAUCCAAACGGAUCCUUUAUGUAUACAUCUUUUUCAUUCUUUUCCAUUCCCCAUUCACUGUUCACUCUUGAAACCCUAGCGCCUCCUUCACAUUUUCUGCAGAUCGAAAAGUUUCACAGUCACGAGACCCUAGCCCUCAUCAUCUUCCCUGUUUUGAUUUAAAUGAAAACCCUAUAUCGCUCAUCCUCCUCUGCUAAUUAUCUCACACAUCGUCCAUAUACUAUCUAUCCUCUAAAGUUCUUAUUAUUAUGUCCCAGUUAUAAAGAUCCGGUUUCAAGCUACGAAGCUUUUCCUGAAUAUUCAGUCUCAAAUCUAGAGGUAAUACUUUUUCUUCGUGAUGGAAAGCUGGUGUUUACAUUUGGUCGACAAUCGGUCAGCGGCUACCGAUUGUAGACUGAUUCAACCUUCGUGAAACCCAAACAUUUUUUGUCUCUAGAUUCCAGCUUUCACUAACGCACAUGUACUAUCAAUUUCAGAAGUGAACGCUAAUGAUGAUGAGUUAGGUCGGUUAUCGGCUUCUCAAGCAGAUAAGAUAGCCCUAAUGUAUUGAUGGAUAUAGAUUUAUUUUUGUGUGUGUUUGUGUAUUUACUGAUCAAAAUUUUGCAAAUUGGUUGAUGUCAAAAUUUUACAGAUUCUUUACAGAUCUUAGCCAAACUUGAAAUUCUAAAUAUAGAAAACUCGAUUUCGCCAUUUUUAAAAUCUGACCGACUUGAUGUCAUAAGAUUUUCAAGAAAUAUAAAGUAUCUUUCAAUUGUUAGAAGACUAACAAUUAGGUUCUACUCUGUUCUGGCUCUAUAUCAGGUUUUUGACUUUCAUUGUUCAAUCCACAACAUUUUCACGGGUUCUUUUAUCCCUUUGUUCUUAUAUGUUAUUGUCUAUAUAUUCAUAAAGUAGUUUCUUUCAAUUGUGGUUUUAUAGUUAAAAAUUAUAUUUGUUAUUUGAUGGUUUAUGCUUUUUAUCAUAUGCAUCUUGAAUCCAGCAAUCCUUAAAGUAGUAAAUUUUCUCAAAAUGUUCAACUUUGUCUUGAUUGGGAUCUCUUAGUUUGAGAUGCUAUUUGAAUUAAACUUUUUUUGUCAUGUGAUUUAAACCAUGAAUACCAAGUCUCAUUUUGAUUUAUCUUUUUUUUGGCAAAUUUUCUAUAGGUUUUCUUUGCGGUUUACUUCCUCCAAUUCGUUCAGGCGUUUUGAGAAUAUGUCCAGUUAAUGCAUUAAGGAGUAUCAACGUAUUUAUUGCUUAAUCUGGUGUAUACGUUUGGUCUUACAUUCAGGGCAGAAAAUUUUAACACAUCUAGACAUUUAGCUGAAUUCUGGAUGAUUGAACCUGAGCUUGCAUUUGCUGACCUGAAUGAUGACGUGGCAUGUGCCACUGCCUAUCUCCAGUAUGUCGUAUGUUACUUCAUUGACCCUUGAUUAUUGGAACCCUGCGUUUGGAAUGUCGUAUCUAGGAAGCCCGUUAGCAGGCCCACUUCUCAACUCUCCCUGAAGGCCCGGUAGCCCAAUGAGGCUCGGUGAACUCAACGCUCGAUUUUCUCCUCAAAUGAGAAAUUUAGGUGGUGGUAGUGACGUGAUGGGACAUUGGCAUUUAGAUGGUGGAGAAAGUAACUUUGCGUCCUCUUUGCUAGAAGAGUUUAAAAGCAAUAAACUAAGAGUUUUGAGCUUUCGGAAAUCAACGGUCAUGUUGUUGACUUUAGCGCAGAUCAGUAUGGUAGCCGUUUCAUUCAAGAGAAAACUUGAAACCGCCACUACCGAGGAUAAAACAUGGUUUUUCAAGAGAUUUUCCCUCAGGCUCUUACUUUGAUGACCGAUGUCUUUGGAAAUUAUGUGAUUCGGAAGUCCGGAUAAAGGCGCAAAGAUGAUUCCAGUUAACAAAUCAGUUACGGGUUGGUGGAAAGACUUGGCCAAUGUAAAUGGGAGUCUCGGGAAGAUGGGUAUCAAGGUAAAAGAUUCUCUAAAGGUUCCAAUUGGGGAUGGAGCAAAAACAAGGAUGUGGUUUGAUACGUGGAUCAAGGAAGCUCCGUUAAGGCUUUUGUUCCCAAAUGUGUUCAGGCUCGCUGCUGUGAAAGACGCUAAGGUGGCCUCCUGUUAUGAAGUCGCAGGUUCGUUAAGUAAGUGGCGGUGGGAGUGGGUCAGAGACCCCAAUUCUGUUGCUGAAUGGGCUGAGCUGGGGGUUCUUUAUGUGCUUACUGAAUGAUGUAACUCUGUCACAUGAGUUGGAUAAAUGGGUUUGGGCAAACGAGGCAGGCGGACGGUUUUCGGUUAGAUGCAUUCGCAAUGAGCUUGACCUGUAGGCUUAGGUUUUCAGCGACGGGGGUUCUUUCCAAUGGAAUGCUUGAGCGCCUCUCAAGGUCAACUACCUCGUGUGGCGGGCAGUUUCCGGUAGACUGGCAGCCAAG